GCAUAUCAAUAAGCGGAGGAAAAGAAACCAACAGGGAUUGCCUCAGUAACGGCGAGUGAAGCGGCAAAAGCUCAAAUUUGAAACCCUCGGGAUUGUAAUUUGAAGAUUUGGCAUUGGAGAAAGCUAACCCAAGUUGCUUGGAAUAGUACGUCAUAGAGGGUGACAACCCCGUCUGGCUAACCGUUCUCCAUGUAUUGCCUUAUCAAAGAGUCGAGUUGUUUGGGAAUGCAGCUCAAAGUGGGUGGUAAACUCCAUCUAAAGCUAAAUACUGGUGAGAGACCGAUAGCGAACAAGUACUGUGAAGGAAAGGUGAAAAGAACUUUGAAAAGAGAGUGAAAUAGUAUGUGAAAUUGUUGAUAGGGAAGGAAAUGAGUGGAGAGUGGCCGAGGUUUCAGCCGCCCCUCGUGGGCGGUGUACUGCCGACGCCGAGUCAUCGAUAGCGAGACGAGGGUUACCAAUGGGAGCGCCUUCGGGCGUUCUCCCCUAACCCUCCACACUGCCACCGACGACAUAAUCCACCCAUUUCACCCGUCUUGAAACACGGACCAAGGAGUCUAAUGGAUAUGUGAGUGUUAGGGUGGCAAACCCCAGCGCGCAAUGAAAGUGAAUGGAUUCGUUCAGAAUCGACCGAACUUGAUUAUUAUGACAGUUUUGAGUAAACACAUCCAUUGGGACCCGAAAGAUGGUGAACUAUGCCUGGAUAGGGUGAAGUCAGAGGAAACUCUGAUGGAGGCUCGUAGCGGUUCUGACGUGCAAAUCGAUCGUAGGAUCUGGGUAUAGGGGCGAAAGACUAAUCGAACCAUCUAGUAGCUGGUUCCUGCCGAA
rnacentral:rRNA from 1 species